rnacentral:rRNA from 1 species
UACAGAGGGUGCGAGCGUUAAUCGGAAUUACUGGGCGUAAAGCGCGCGUAGGCGGCUUUGCAAGUCGGGUGUGAAAUCCCCGGGCUCAACCCGGGAACUGCGUCCGAGACUGGAAGGCUCGAAUCCGGGAGAGGGAUGCAGAAUUCCAGGUGUAGCGGUGAAAUGCGUAGAUAUCUGGAGGAAUACCGGUGGCGAAGGCGGCAUCCUGGACCGGCAUUGACGCUGAUGAGCGAAAGCUAGGGGAGCAAACGGG